GAUGAACGCUGGCGACGUGCCUAAUACAUGCAAGUCGAACGGAAAGGCCCUGCUUUUGUGGGGUGCUCGAGUGGCGAACGGGUGAGUAACACGUGAGUAACCUGCCCUUGACUUUGGGAUAACUUCAGGAAACUGGGGCUAAUACCGGAUAGGAGCUCCUGCUGCAUGGUGGGGUUGGAAAGUUUCGGCGGUUGGGGAUGGACUCGCGGCUUAUCAGCUUGUUGGUGGGGUAGUGGCUUACCAAGGCUUUGACGGGUAGCCGGCCUGAGAGGGUGACCGGCCACAUUGGGACUGAGAUACGGCCCAGACUCCUACGGGAGGCAGCAGUGGGGAAUAUUGCACAAUGGGCGGAAGCCUGAUGCAGCAACGCCGCGUGCGGGAUGACGGCCUUCGGGUUGUAAACCGCUUUCGCCUGUGACGAAGCGUGAGUGACGGUAAUGGGUAAAGAAGCACCGGCUAACUACGUG
rnacentral:rRNA from 1 species